rnacentral:lncRNA from 1 species
GUUUUAGUUAACGUAGAGUAAGUAGCAUUAGCACUAAGAUUCAAAUUUCUUGUAAUAGUUUUGUUCAACAUUUAUUGUACUGAAUUUAAUGUAAAACCCCAAAAUUACCCUUACCCUUACUUUCCCGCAAAGAAUCCUUAGAGUAGAUUUAGUAAAUUGGUAACUAUAGUAUAAAUAUGUGACCUUGGGAAUAUCACAACAAAAAAAGGGGACGAUUGUGGAAAGGAAACAAGACUGACAGUUUGUGGGGGAAGGGGCCAACUGGGAGUGGCAGUUGGGUCUUGUGACUAGCACUUCCUUCCUGCGGGGUGGGACUUGCUUCUGGGUGUUGGAGGAGAGAUGAGCGUGGUCAGCCCAGUCUGGAGUGGCAUGCUCUUCUUGGUUCAGCUGGAAGACACAGGCUUCUGAAGGACCUUAAAUGUAAUCCAGAGCAAGUGUUUUCCUGGCUGUUUGGAGGUCAGAAUGAGGACAUUCCUUUAUCCCAGUGAAAAUAGGCUACUGCUCUGCAGUUGACCGUCCCAGAAAAUUAUCACUAGCAUGGAGAGUGAAGUGAUUUGCCUUAUGUCAUCAGUCAGUAUAUAUCAUGAACACGACUUUACAUCUUAACUUUACCCCCAGAUUUUAUUAUUUUCUUUUAUUGUUCAUUUAACUCAUCCCGAUAGUCCUACAAAUUCAUUUUGGGAACAAUAAAAAACCCCAACCCAUUAAAUUUCA